AAGAAUUUAAGUUAAAAAAACUAUUGACCUUCAAAGCCAAAAUUAGAUAAGAUUUUCUAAUUCUUA
rnacentral:tRNA from 1 species